rnacentral:tRNA from 1 species
GAUUUUCUAGUAUUUUAUGUAUAUUUGUUUUCCAAACAAAAGGUUUUGAAAAAUUG